ACGCGCUUGAAUGAGGAACUGAGUCCACUUUUUUCUACAUGUUGUUGGUCCAAGCUAAAACGAUAAUAAGAAAAGCAGAAAGGAAGAGAAAACACAUUUAUCGGAAAAACUCAUUGCAACGCGCAGCGUCGGCGCCUCUUCAUCAUCAGUGGCGUGCGCUGUGUUGUUGCUUGUGUGGUUCAAUGCGUGUUGAAUUCGUGUGUGAGUGAUUGAGAGCAUUUGCAGAUUGAUGCGAAUUGCUUCCUUUUCUGCUGAAUUUUCAGUUAUGUGAAGAGUGUGUGUUGAAUGAAAAAUGUGGAUUAAAAAAUGUGUUCUGAACCUUCCUCAAUCUGAAGCGUGAAUAUGGUUUAUAGAGUUCAAAUCUGUUAGAAAUUCAAUUGAAAUUCAGAUUGAAAUGCAAUGGUAAUUCAUCUGUUAGUUACAAAUGCAAGAGUUUGUUAGAGAUUGAAAUUCAAAUGAAAUGUAAUUGAAACUUAAGUGAAAUUCUAUUUUCUCCUUUGUGGAACACACUCUGUCAAAUGUAACUGAAAUGAGGUGAAAUUCAAUGCACAAGCUGAUGUUUAGUGUAGGUUAGGUACAAGAGCUUGGCAUGGACAAGGUUUCGGCAUGGCAUGGGUCAAGGCGCUCCCAUGAAGGGACUUUUGGACAAAAAGUAAAUGGCUUAGGAAUGUAGAAUGAGGCGGAUUUGGUUCAAGAUAGAUAAUUUUGGUCAAUUAUUUAAUCAAAAAGUCAAUAGUAGACCAAAACUCAACCUAGAUAAAAAUAUGUUUUUUUAUAAUGUUUGAAAUUGUAAUGAAAUGUUUGAUAUUGUAAUGAAAUAAAUGGAGGUCGUAUGGUUUGUUUAGUAAUGAAAAUGACUUGCAUGUA